CACUGGGGACUAGCCUGCCAUGCCACGUUGAUGAUGUGCUGAUUUUGGUGCAUAAAUGAUCAAUAAUACCGAGAGAUUUCAGAAUGUGCUUUGCUUCCUAGUCCCUGACACAUGACAUGGGACAGAAUUCUACCCUCGUCAGUCCCUCUGUCACAGGAUGUGGGAGGUGGUGCCUACUGACUCCAGUAGCUACUGCUUCAGUUGAGAUGUGGAGUGGAUGGGAGCUCUGAAACUUGGUGGAAGGGGAAAAGUGGGCCCAUAGUUGCCUAAUAACAAUAGGGAUGCUUGCAGGAGAGGAGGCUGCAGGGCCAUAAAUACACCUGUCCUCUAGGUUGAAGCCCACUACCUACACACUUUUGGGAUUGCAUAUCCAAUACUGGGCACAUUACUCUGGGGACCUGUUCAUCUUGAGUUGCUUACUGUAGCUACAUCAACCCUACACUUUCCCCUUUUGACUUUUCUCUGACUGUUCAGGUCACUGAAUAUAUUGCCUUUCUUUAGAAAGUUUUAACAGGUUAACUAAUCAUUGCUAUGUAAAUAUCAGAGAUCAAACUAAAAUCAUUACAACAGUGAGCUUUUGUUUAGAGAAACAUUAUACGGUAAUACAGUCAUCAGCUCUCUCCAUGUAACAGGGUGCUAUCAAAUUACAGAGACUUUUUACAAAACCCAGACAUUGUUUUUGGUGAUCUUAUUAAAUCAAGUGAAACUUCUGAUUACAUAUUUAUGAAAUCAGACAUGCCUACCAAAUGUUCAUAUUAAAAUAAAUUGGACAUUCCCUAGUGAAGCAAGCCACUUUGCAUAGAGAAGUUUGUGCUGGGCUUUGCUGAUGUGUCUUUCUUAACUGAAGACCUAGAUAGGUGUUUGCAAAGGAACCUAUACUUCUGUAGCCUGCCUGUUUUUAUAUUGUGUCUUAAAUGUACAUGCUGUUUUUAAAAUAAUUUGGAAUGCCAAAGUGUGUGCACUGGAGAGCAUACAGUUUAAUGUAGAUUAUUAAAAUAUACAGGACAAGAGUUCAGAUUAGUGUAGGAAGCUAUUGCUGAAGGAGAGACUUGGAAGAAAAAAAAGUUGUCAUUUCUAUUUAAGCUACUGGAAAUGUGGCUAUGAGAGAGAACAGUGAUACUGUGUAAGUUUCUGUUUGUUUGUUUCCCCCCCCCCCCCAUCAUAUGUAAAUUUGUCUGUCAAGCUCUUGUGGUAUUUUUCCCCUGCUGAAAGCUUCUACAAGAAACUGAAGAGACCUUUUGAAAAAUAAAUAGCAGGAACUACAUGCACCAUUGUGCUUCUCUGCAGCAGUGCCUAGGAGAUUGCUGUAACAAAGGCAGUGUGAGCCUCUUUUGAUGUAACCUGCAUACUUCAGUGGCUUAGGAGUUUGCUGUCCCAGUAUUAUAUUUGGCACAUGAGGGUUUUUUGUUUUUUUUUUUUAAAUGGGCCUAUGAUGAUUUUUCACGCCAGUGUAGACAGGGCAAAACUUUAAUUGGUUGUUGACAACUGUUGCUGAGCUUCGGUAGUGACUGAGGCUUGAAUGAUUUUCACAGCUGAUUUUAGUGAAGUUUUGUCAUCUCCAUCCCAGCUUUCACCUUUCAGCACUGAUGCAUCACCUAAAUUGCUUUUUAAGAUCUGCUUUAGAUACUUAACUGUUCUGAACUUCUUUCAAGAGAACUGCAUCUGGACACUGCCCAAAAGCACUAUUGCAAAGGCCUAAACUAUUGUAGAGAACAUAAAAAAUGGAGUCUCUAAAAUUAUUUCAGUUCACAUGACAUUGUAUUUGUUUUUAUUCUGAAUGCUUCAAAGCUCAAUGGCUGGGUGAUUUAGACAUGGUUUCAGCCUAUAAUUUGUCUUCUUGCUGACAAAACCAUGUACUGAGUUUCAGCCCAAUUGCAAAUUAAACUGGCUGAAUUUUAAACUUCAGAAAGCUGGAGAGUCUGGUAACAAACUGUAAGAAUAAAGACAGCUGAUACAGUGUGUGACACGAAUUUCAAGAAAACACACUGUCUGUACAGUUUGGCUGAUAUUUUGUUUGAAACUAUAUUUUUGUAUGCCUGAUCCCUGUGCAUGCAGGAGUUAACUUGGCAGUCCCAGACUUCAUGCAUCAUGACUUCUUUUACGAAUGUUUAUGCUUCUGGGUGUGUUUUGCAAGAGCUGUGGCCUUUCACCCACUUACAGGUUUUCAAUGUUAAAUUUGUUUAACUCUCUAAUCUGUUGGCUCAUUCCUGCCCUUUUAUGAUUCAUUAAUCUCAUGUUUAGCUGCAUAUCUCUCUCUGACUUGUCAAGAUGGCCAAGAGGACCUUUGUCCCAGAUCUGGAUUUAACUGAAAUCUAGAAGGAAAAAAAAAAAAAUGUUGCCUGAAGCAUCUUCUGUCUCGUAUCACAUGACCACAGUAAAGGCCCUCACUUAUGUGACAGUCUUUAAGGAGCAGAAGCAGGUUAAAAUGCCUUUCUGUUCUUCCUUAUCUAAAAGCAAAUCCCUCUUUCUCAUGUCAGUCUUCCUAGUGUACAUUUAAUAACAGAAAGUUGUAGUUAGAGAUGCUGGUAUAUUUGAUCAUUUUAUGCAUACUGUAACUGCUUUUUAUUUGUGAGUCAUUUCAAACACUGUAAGUGGAGAGGUGAAUAAAACUUCAAGAAAACAUCCAUGUAUGUAAUUCUUAUUCCUUUUUUAUGCAAGUAAGUGGCAGAAUGAAACGGUAAUAAAAAGUGAUAUAUGGCUCUUAAAACACUUAGAGAUGUGAUAAUUAAAUGAAGGGCUAAAUUCCUCUUCCAGUUACAUCUGUUAAACCCUGCUGUCUUCAGUGGCAUUGAGCAGGUGUAACUGGGAGCAGAAUUUGCCACUGUUCCUCCUCUACAGUCCCUUUGUCUCAUUCUAUUUCAAAGAGGAAGUAGACUUGUCUUGGAUAAUGCAAUGGUCUUACAUAUUUUGGCCAAUUUAAAAUGUGCUCAACUUCUGGUCUGCUAUUCUGAAAACCUCCGUUCAGCCACUUUCUAAGUGUUAAGAUGGUAGGAGUAAUUGCUGCAUGCCAGGUGGUAUAUGACGUAAAAUUAUGAUACUUGUGUGUUCAUCCUUAAAUUUUUCAGGUGUGUGGUUUUUUUUGUUUUUAAUAUCCUGUUACAGAAUUUACACUAGUGGGAAUUUUGAAAUCAAGUGAUUAGGGCAAGAUUGUACAUUUUUGUUUGUUCCUUUAACAAAAUGCAAGCAUUAUUUGACUUUAAAAAAAAAAAGAUACUUUAUUGUAAGCCUACCUCUCUCUGUUCUUCUUCUGGUUGUUGUUAUUGGAAUUACAGUAGUGCCCCAUGGCCUUACUCAGUAUUGGUAUCCUAUUGUGCUGGGCACUGUACAAACCUAUAGUAAGAGACCGUCCCUGCCCCCCAACAUUGACAAUGUAGGGCCCUGAUCAUGUAAUUAGCUCUAUGCAGGCAGACCCCUGCACCUUUGUAGAGCUCAUAUGAAACAAAUUACAGGAGAUGUGUGGGAAAGUGGAGACAAUGGUACCAACAGUUGGAGUUGCCCACGGAAGUAUAGACCAGCAAUGCACAUAAGUUCCAGGUAUUCAAGUUUUACUUUUUUUAAAGAGUAAACAGGAGAGAUUAAUGAAACUGCACGGGCCUUGUUUAUAUAACAAUGGAACCAGUGGCUGAAGUUCAAAUCAAAGCUUUCUCUACCAAGUUAAAUAUUUACUGAUGUCUUCAUGCAUGUUAUAGUGGUGGUUUAGCAUACCAAAAGUCAUGUCAGGACUCUCAUUAGAUUUCCUCCUCUUCACAUGUUACCAGCUUUCUUAAUACAUGUGCUCUUUCUGUGUAUUAAUUUGUAAUUAAGAUAAACAGAAUUAAGGGUAGAAUGAGUGUGUCCACAUGGGUUUAAUGCCAUUUAACUAAUCAACCUUUUGUUAAUUUGGAUUAAUUUUCCUGAAUGUCCCUGUGUAGACAAGACUUUAGUUAAGCUUUCUUUCAUAGCUAGGCUACUUCUGCAGGGCAAUCAGAAGUGAAAAGCAGUCCGCACUUAUGUCAGAAAAAUGAGCAGAUAUGAUACUGACUAUACACAGAGAACGGAUGUAUUGAUUGGGAUAGCUACUAACAAAUGAAGAUGAGGAAAUCUAAUGAAAGUCCUGAUUUCAGAAUCUUUGUUACUGGUCAUGUCAGAGCAAGAAAAUCAUUUAUCUUGGAUUUCAAAUUACAGACUGAAUAUGCCCACAAUUUGAAAAGACAUCCUGUUUACUUAUAUCAGGGGACUGCAACCUUUCAGAAGUGGUGUGCAGAGUCUUCAUUUAUUCACUUUAAUUUAAGG